CGAAGGGGGCUAGCGUUGUUCGGAAUCACUGGGCGUAAAGCGCACGUAGGCGGAUGUGUCAGUCAGGGGGUGAAAUCCCGGAGCUCAACUUCGGAACUGCCUCUGAUACAGCACGUCUUGAGUCCGGAAGAGGUGGGUGGAAUUCCUAGUGUAGAGGUGAAAUUCGUAGAUAUUAGGAAGAACACCGGUGGCGAAGGCGGCCCACUGGUCCGGUACUGACGCUGAGGUGCGAAAGCGUGGGGAGCAAACAGGAUUAGAUACCUUGGUAGUCCACGCCUUAAACGAUGGAUGCUAGCCGUCAGCAAGCAUGCUUGUUGGUGGCGCAGCUAGCGCAUUAAGCAUCCCGCCUGGGGAGUACGGCCGCAAGGUUA
rnacentral:rRNA from 1 species